rfam:Apaloderma vittatum contig50238, whole genome shotgun sequence.
GGCCGGUUAGUUCAGUCAGUUGAGCGUAGCGCUAGCAACGCUAAGGUCAUGGGUUUGAUUCCCAUUUGGUCCC